AGAAGCCAUUUCAGGCUAUCAAUCAAGAUAGACAAGCAAGCUACUCUUAGCUGGCAUGCCUGUUGGCAAGUUGGGAGACUUUAGAAAAGCAACAUUCCACAUUCUCCAACUUCAGGCCAGGGGCCUAAGCUCCCUAUGGACCACCCCCCCAGCCAUCCUUACAUACUUUGUGCCCCUCAGAUUUUUUUGUGCCCAUACUUUGUGCCCCUCAGAUUUUGCAAUCAGCCCCUGUUGGGGCUGAUUGCACAGAAGGACAUUGGAGGAAAGCACACUAAUAUGGACUAUCACAAGUCGGAUUUGUAACCCACAAAUGUACAGGCCUGCUUGCCAGAAUGUCUCAUAAGGUAUGAAAAGCCUCUCACGUGCAAGAAAGAGAGAGAAAGGUCACAGCUCUGUGGCGAAGAAACAAUUGCGAGGUGGUGGUUGCUGAUGUGAGGUCUACAGACAAAAAAUCCUCUUUCCUUCUCCAACAUUCAGAGUUUAAAACUCUGCAGCCCCACAAAUGGCUUGUGGAUGAGACAAUCGAAUGGUACUUUCAAGCCACCACAAAAAGCUGUGGUCACGGUACAAAGAGUUACACCCUAAAUCAUUACUCAGCCCAAGUCAUUCUAAAUGGAGAAAGAAGUUCAGUGUGCAAGCAAAGUCUGCCCAAGUAUUUGCAUGAACCAUCAGGCCAAGUGUUCUUGGUUGACCCUGCUGGACAGAAAGAGAACGAGGAAUCGGAACACGCUGCAUUAAAAUUCAGAGAAUACUUCAAAAUGAGAAGAUCCUGCCAUGGAAAAGACGACUUGGUGGACAUAAAGUGGAAAGGAGGGGAAAUAACUCACAACAUGCAGGAGGACACCUUCAACUGCGGGGUCUUUGUAAUGCAGUUGUGUGGGACAGCCAUAUGUUCAGUUCAUGCCUGUGAUGUCAGAGUUCAACAAAGCCAACAACUGCUUCAUGUGUGCCACUGAUAAAGAACCUGGAUGUGGCCCAAAGACUGGAUAGAAUAUUUUGCAUGCCAACGGUGGGUCCAUGUGCUGUGCCUAGGAAUGAAGACAAAAGAGUUCAACAGAGUAAAGAACACAAACUGGAAGUGCAGUCUUUGUUGUUGAAAAUCCACACUGAAGAGGCUCUGAAAUGUACAUCAACCAGGGAUAAAGAGAAAGUUAACACUGAAAUGUUUUGUACUUUGAAGAAAAGUGUCUGACAUGUUGGAAAAGAUUAAAGGUCUACAAUUUCCGUUUAAUUUGCCAAAAUAAAAAUUUUAUUCAUUGAUUUACUGGCCACCAUUACUGUGGUU